ensembl:lncRNA
AUUUUUCAGUUUGCUUCUGAUGAGAAGCCAACUGCCACCACUGAUAGAUUAUCGAAUAGAUAUGUGAAAAACACCUUGAGGAUUGAUUCUAAACAACGUUUGCCAUGUUUCUGUCGAUAUUAUGGAGCUAAUUUGGAAAAAAGUUUGGCGUUGUAAGUGACUGCAUUUUCCGGUAUUUUUCUUAGCCAAACGUGACGAACAAAACGGGAGUUAUUUCGUCUACACAAAUAAUAUUUUUGGGAAAAAUGAACAUUUGCUAUCUAACUAAGAGUCUCGUCAUUGAAAACAUCCGAAGUUCUUCAAAGGGACAGAUGGCAAAUUGAUUUGUUAAUUUCACUCCAUGGCAAUGGCAGGACAAAACAGUUGUGCACAACUAGUUUGGAGGUUGGAGCACAACCCAUCAUUUAUUCAUUUAUUAAUCAAAAAGUGUUGAUGUCUCCACAUGUUUCUGGUUUUGAGGCUUGGGCAUCUGAAGCUGCAGUUCAUCUGUCUAAUGAGAGAGACAGGCAUCAUCUGGGGAGUGUAGUUCAUCUCUCUAAUCCCCUGCAAGAAGGGAGACAGGCAUCAUCUGGGGACUGUAGUUCAUCUGUCUAAUCCCCUGCAAGGAGCGAGACAGUCAUCAUCUGGGGAGUGCAGUUCAUCUGUCUAAUCCCCUGCAAGGAGAGAGAUGGGCAUCAUCUGGGGAGUCUGUCUAAUCCCCUGCAAGGAGAGAGACAGGCAUCAUCUGGGGAGUGCAGUUCAUCUGUCUAAUCCCCUACAAGGAGAGAGACAGGCAUCAUCUGGGGAGUGUAGUUCAUCUGUCUAAUCCCCUGCAAGGAGAGAGACAGGCAUCAUCUGGGGAGUGCAGUUCAUCUGUCUAAUCCCCUGCAAGGAGAGAGACAGGCAUCAUCUGGGGAGUGCAGUUCAUCUGUCUAAUCCCCUGCAAGGAGCGAGACAGGCAUCAUCUGGGGAGUGUAGUUAAUCUGUCUAAUCCCCUGCAAGAAGGGAGACAGGCAUCAUCUGGGGAGUGUAGUUCAUCUGUCUAAUCCCCUGCAAGGAGAGAGAAAGGCAUCAUCUGGGGAGUGCAGUUCAUCUGUCUAAUCCCCUGCAAGGAGAGAGACAGGCAUCAUCUGGGGAGUGUAGUUCAUCUGUCUAAUCCCCUGCAAGGAGAGAGACAGGCAUCAUCUGGGGAGUGUAGUUCAUCUGUCUAAUCCCAUGCAAGUGGGGAGACAGGCAUCAUCUGCGGAGUCUGUCUAAUCCCCUGCAAGGAGAGAGACAGGCAUCAUCUGGGGAGUGUAGUUCAUCUGUCUAAUCCCCUGCAAGGAGAGAGACAGGCAUCAUCUGGGGAGUCUGUCUAAUCCCCUGCAAGGAGAGAGACAGGCAUCAUCUGGGGAGUGCAGUUCAUCUGUCUAAUCUCCUGCAAGGAGAGAGACAGGCAUCAUCUGGGGAGUGCAGUUCAUCUGUCUAAUCCCCUACAAGGAGAGAGACAGGCAUCAUCUGGGGAGUGCAGUUCAUCUGUCUAAUCCCCUACAAGGAGAGAGAC